rnacentral:rRNA from 1 species
UGCAGAGACUGCAAGCGUUAUUCGGAUUCACUGGGCGUAAAGGGUGCGCAGGCGGCCAAGUGUGUCAGGUGUGAAAUCCCGAGGCUUAACCUCGGAACUGCGCCUGAAACUACUUGGCUAGAGUACUGGAGAGGGUAACGGAAUUCACGGUGUAGCAGUGAAAUGCGUAGAUAUCGUGAGGAACACCAGAGGCGAAGGCGGUUACCUGGACAGUUACUGACGCUCAGGCACGAAAGCGUGGGGAGCAAAAGGG